GGCGUGGGCCCCAGGGUCCAAAGAUUUUUUAACAAAAAUAGUAUUAAAGAGGGGUCCAAAAUUUUAAAAAUAAUUAAAGAUAGGAGCCAAAAAGUUUAAGUUGUCCAUAUAUACAUAUAAAAAAUAUUAAAAUUUAUUUUGCCCAAGGGCCCAAUAGUACCUUGAGCCCUGGAAUCACCGGAACCCGCCAUGCUUUGAGCUUUGUUUUUGUCUGUUCAGUAAAUCAGUCAUAUCUUCCUAACCGUUGAGAAUCUCGUGCAUCUAAGGACACCAUCGUGUUCCUCUCGUCGAGACGAAACCGUAGACACCGACCACGCUGCAAUCGGAGUCCGGAUGAAGCCGCACGCGCCGUCAGAAGUUCCGCACGCGCCGCCGUCAGAAGU
rnacentral:lncRNA from 1 species